rnacentral:rRNA from 1 species
GACGAACGCUGGCGGCGUGCUUAACACAUGCAAGUCGAACGGAAAGGCCCUGCUUUUGUGGGGUGCUCGAGUGGCGAACGGGUGAGUAACACGUGAGUAACCUGUCCUUGACUUUGGGAUAACUUUAGGAAACUGGGGCUAAUACCGGAUAGGAGCUCCUGCUGCAUGGUGGGGGGUGGAAAGUUUCGGCGGUUGGGGAUGGACUCGCGGCUUAUCAGCUUGUUGGUGGGGUAGUGGCUUACCAAGGCUUUGACGGGUAGCCGGCCUGAGAGGGUGACCGGCCACAUUGGGACUGAGAUACGGCCCAGACUCCUACGGGAGGCAGCAGUGGGGAAUAUUGCACAAUGGGCGGAAGCCUGAUGCAGCAACGCCGCGUGCGGGAUGACGGCCUUCGGGUUGUAAACCGCUUUCGCCUGUGACGAAGCGUGAGUGACGGUAAUGGGUAAAGAAGCACCGGCUAACUACGUG